GGAUAUAGUUUAAUGGUAAAACAUAAAUCUCCAAAAUUUAUAAUAUUGGUUCAAUUCCAAUUAUCCGCG
rnacentral:tRNA from 1 species